GGGGUCGUAGCUCAGUUGGUAGAGCGUCUCGUUCGCAAUGAGAAGGUCGCAGGUUCGAAUCCUGUCGGCUCCACCA
rnacentral:tRNA from 3 species